GGGGUAGCUGAUGACUUUUUUUUGCAUAAAAGAACUAUUCUAUUAAACACAUCCUAAAGGAAUCCUUCUUCUUUUAAUUAGCUCAAGGUGAAAGUAUCACUUCCUAUUAUCUAGGUUUGCACCUACACUAUGGCAAACAAAUGUAAUAAUAUGAUGGUACCUCAUUGUUGGGUAUUCUUAACAUCAUCACCAGAAGUAGACUAAGUUCUCUAAAUCUAGUAACGGUGCCAAAAAUGCCAAACCUAUCCCUCACACCACUUAAGCCAAGUUGUCAUCCCCAGCAUGAUAUGAGAGACGCGGUAUUGAAAUAUGCAAAUGCUCUUCUAAAUAAAUAAUGAAUGGGAUCUCCAAGCGCACAGAUUAAUACCGAUGCAGCAUUUUAACCGGGAAGUAUUCCAUGUAUCGUUAUUUAUAUUUUUACCACUGGGAAGGGAUUAGAAAUCAUCACUAUUGAUUACAGAAUAGAAUAUGAGAUUGAGCAUCUAUCAUUGCAUGUAUAAUUGAGAACAUUAUAUCUAACUCUUCAUACAGAGAUAAGUGUCACAUAAAAGUUAUAUGAAAUAAUAAUAGUGACAAGGAUAACUAAUCUGAUCUAGCCACAUAAUAAAUAUGAUAAGCACCUCAAUUAGAUACUCUAGAAAGUCAUUAGCAUGGUAUUAGAACGAACUACAAGAAUAUUCCCUAAAUUAUUCUUAACUAUAUAGUCUAGCAUCAUCAUAGUUAGUGCAAGCAUACUUAGCAAUCAUUGUGAGACAAGACUAUGCCCAUGCAUAGUGAUAUUAGCAAGGAAUAUGAGAAACAUAGCAAUCACUCCCCUGUAAUAAUGUUGCUCUGCCAGCCCACUACACGAGAGGGGGACUAUAUAAGAAUCAAUGAAGCUGUCACUAUCACGAACCACCCCACGAUCUGGCAUAUUGGGUACAAUCGCAGAUAAAUACGGUAUAAGCACCACGCCUACACAAUAUCUAUCAUUUACCCAUGGAUCCGAUGGAUAAACGCUAUAUGAUCCUAAGCAUGUAUAUAGAUCCAAUCUAGCUAAGCCAAGUACAUAACUAUGAUAAACUAAGAACAAUAUAAUCUUGAAUAUAAGCAAGUAGAGCAAAGUCAUAAGCAAUAUAUUGAAGUAGAACAAAGUCAUAUUCAUAAUAUUGAAGAACAAAGAUAAUUAGAAAGUAAUUAGAAGCACAAUUAGAGAAUUACCAAGAAUCCUCCUAACAGAUCUGGAAACCAAUCGAAGAUUGACUCCUUCUAGUUCUAAUCCUAUGUAGCUAUGCUAAUCUAGAUGUCUAAUUGAUGCGGUGGCUCUAAUCUUGAUCAGAGGCUUCUUCUCCCUUGAUGGAACAAUGAAUUAGGGUUGAGAGGCUCCCUCCUCCAGGGGCCAGGGGGUCUGGUUUUAUAGUCCCUCCAAGUGACUAUGGGCCCUUGGAUCAAACCGACAUAGAUUGUAUGGUUUAGAUUCAUCCUUUAGGUCGGUGGAGAUCUCCCGCAAAGCAGAGUCCUGAUUGGACUCAGGGGCAAGGCGGGAGCCCUGACCAACUGGGUGGCCGCCCAGGGUCAGGCCCCGUUUCGCCUCCGCUUCGGUCUCGUGGCUUCUGGAGUCUUCUAGAUGUAAGAUAAUUGCGCAGCACGUUAAUAUCUUUACGUAAUCCCGACAUGUGGGCCUUUCUUCCAUAUUUCCUGAUAACCCCCUGCAAAAAUAGACAAACACCAAAACUCGUGGAAUUCUGUCAGAUACAACCCUAAGUCUGGAUCUUGAUUUCAUUUGGAUCCUUUUCUUUAUUUAUUUGAUAAUUAAAUUUGAUACUUAAGGACCGUCAACAAACUCCCCCAAGCUUAGCUCUUGCUCGUCCCUGAGCAAGGAUAGACUCAGCUAUGGAUCAUAAGUUGUUGCUAUAUUUAAAAAUUUGACGGUACACAUGCUUUUAAAUAAGAUCUCACCUCUGAGUUAGAGUAAACAGUCAAGACCUAAAACUUACUUACUUUACCUUCACCAUGGGACUUGUAACCGUCACUUCUGUCUUGUGUGGUUAAAAGAUAGAACAGUCUAGCCAAGUGCCAUGUCUCUUAUUCUUGAUCAGCUAUAGCUCUGGGGUUUUUUUUUGCAGAUUUUCAAAUAAAACUCAGAAAUUCCUUGUAUGAUUCUCUCAGGUCUCUCUUUUGUGGUAUUUUUGGAUCCUUACCAAGGCAGUGAUGGUAUAUGCCUUCUCUCAAGAUAUAUAGUAUUUCUGGUAUAAGGCAUAGUGACAUUGCCUUCUCUCUCACCCUACUCUAAUAAGGCUUGAAUAUCUGGAGCUCAUAGGUGGGAGAUAAAAUAUACAUACUUACAAGACAUUUAUUGCAUAGUCAAACCAUGGAUCCAAAGUAACAAAUCAAUAAGCCAAAUCAAGAUGUGCAUGUGUGGCGAAUGAAUGGUGUAUGGUGAUGAUGGUGAUAACAAUGGUGAAAACAAUGGUGGUGGAAGUCUAAUUCUACUUUUGCUCUUUGAGGGGAAACAUACCUUUCUUGCUUUUUAAACUUUAUGAGGAGAAUGAGAUGCUCUUCUUUUUCACUUUUUUCUUUUCUUUCAAGGUUCCGAGCACUUGCUCCUUUUUAUUUCCUCGUAUCUCUUUUUUUUUCUUUUUUUCUUUUAUUUAUUUUUUUUUCAGAGCAUUCAUCUCUUGAGAUAAUAUAGCAAGUGGUAGUAACAAGAUAACUUGAGCUUUUAUUUCAUAAGGGGAAAACAGAAAUAUUUUUGGUUAUUCUCUCCUAGAUUAGGAGUAGAAUAUUUUUGGGUAAUUCUGGAGAUGGAAUGGGUGGAUAUAUGUGGAUGGUACUUCCGGAGUAGAAGUAGCAUAUAUGAGUGAACGUGCAAGUGAAAUCUUGAUUUAACCACAUGACAAGCUCCUAAGGGUCUACACAGCUUGACCACACUCAAUGCUCAUAAGCAGUAAAUAAUAAAUGUGUGGCUCAAAGUCUAACAAGCAUGUAUAUAUGGCUGUGGUAGGAAUUUAAACUCUCAUCAUACAGAUACUCAUCAUGCAACAUUUUAAAGAUUUUCAAAGAUAAAAUUCUCCAGAAUUCUUGCAUCUCUAGGAACAGAUAAACAGCAGCUCAACCUUCCCAUAUCAUAUCCGUUAACAACUUAGACUUCAGAUCAAGCUUUCAUCCCACAAGUUUAGGUCUAGAGCAAGCUUUAAAUUAUAACAGAUAUAUCUAAACUUGAGAGAGAACUUAAAAUUUGCAAAUUAGGCAGAGCAACUAUUUAUCAUAUCCAUGCUUAAGUUUUAUUUAGAUACAGAUUAGCAUAGCCACUUUAUUUAUUUAUUAAACACACUAAGCAAAAGACAUAUAUAUAUAAGCAUAAACUCUUUAUUUGGUUUUCCAUAGUUUAUGUGUAUUUAUAUUGUAAAAUAAUAUAAGUAUAAAGAUAGAUAGAAAAACUUAUCGAGAUAAAUGGGGGUGCUCUCCCCCAAGCUGAAUUUUGACGUAAUUUCUCUUGAUGUAGCUAGCAGGUGGCAGAGGUGUAUUUGAAAGUCAGCAGCAUUCUGACAGCGAUUAGAAUGUCCUCCGUCUGCUAGUCUUCUUGAUUCUUAAAUUCUGUGGAGCUCAAAUAGACAACAAAGCUUGUGGAACUGAUUAAGUGUUAGCAUAAAUAUCUAGCCUUUAUCAUGUUGAGACUCCUUAAUAAUUAUUACUCCCUGUUUUUAUAUUUUUGUUUUUAUAAAGCAGAAAAAUAUUUAUUUUAUUUUUAUGCCACCACAGUGAAUGUACUUAUGGGUUUUAUGCCACUCGUCUACUCACAUGGGGCUUACUGUUUUUCACAUUUUUAUUUUCUUUUUAGGAUAAUACGAACAUGAUUAACUAAGUAAACUAUUUGAAAUAAUUGAAAGGGAAAGGAUAACUACCAAGUUUACCUCUUGGCAAGGCGUUCGGUGUUUUUAAGUCCUCCGAACGGGACUCUCCAUUUUCUUAAUCGUCCUGAGGCUCGUUGGGUGGCGUAGUCGGUACUUCCGGCAGCGCCUCCUCUUCUUUUAUAGUUAUCUUCAUUUUCCACACCUGACUUGGUGCUUCAAUCUCCUCUGGAUAAUUAUGUUUAAACUCAACGUCUUCUGACCUUACAACUUCUCCUUCAUAGUCUGCCCAUCCGUCCUUGAUGAUCUGCCUCCUCUGGUUGCGGUUGCGUCUCUUUCUGACCUGCUUAGAUUCUUCAAUGAUAUAGUUAGGGUCAGUAAAAUAACGGCGUACCUUCUCUGAGGGGAAGUGCAUAUGGACUUCUCCGGUUCCAAUGUAGAUAAUUGCUUUAACGGUGCUGAGGAACGGUCUUCCAAGGAUGAUGGGUGGAUCAUACUCAUCUUCUCCCAUGUCAACAACUUGAAAGUCUGUGUAGACAAAGUGAUCGUCUAUUUUGACUUGGACAUCAGAUACUAUUCCUUUAACUUCUCAGAAUGUCUGAUCUGCCAUCUGGAGCUGAAUGUAUGUUGGUCUUAGUGGCAUGGUCCCGAACAAGAGCCGAUAGGUGACUGCGGCCAUUAUGUUGACGCCCGAUCCGGUGUCGCAAAUCGUCUUGUAGAAGUUGUAUCCAUUUAUGGAGCAGUAGAUGCUUGGCAUUCCUGGGUCAUCCUUCUUGGUCAAAAACGGUGACUUAAGUUGAUGAUCUUGGCCUCCAUGGACUACAGUGACCAUCUUAGCUGACUCGGUCCACACUUGCUUGUUCCUGUUUCUCCUGUUGGUCCUCUUCCUUGAUUUACGUCUGGAUUGAUCUUGAAUUUGUGUAGUCUUGUUCUUGAAGAAAAAUGUCUCCUUCUUCCCUUUGACGUAGAAACUGAUCUUGGCAGCACUGGCGUAGAUGAUAGCUCCCGUGGUGUUCAAGAAUGGCCUCCCUAGGAUGAUAGGUGCUCUCUCAUCAUUUCCGGUCUCUACCACUACGAAGUGUGCUAGAGCAUAUAAGGUACCAACUCGGACACAAAGGUUCUUCACUAUUCCUUUUGGAAAUGUUAUCGUCUGAUCUGCAAACUGCAAACACAUGGUUGUUUCUAGUAAAGGAUAUGUAAAGAAUUUCUCAUAGAGUACCCUGGGUAUAAUGUUGACACUAGAGCCAAAGUCGCAGAGUGCUUCUGGGACGUCCACGAUGCCGAUCGAGAUCGGGAUGACGGGGCGUCCUGGAUCGCCUCUCUUGACCGACAGAAGGUCAGUAGAGAAUUCAUUGACGGGGUUACUCCAAUUACCUGCAUCAAAUAUGUCUACAAGAUUUGCAGAUUCUAAUCCUUCCAGUUGUGAUGGUAUACCGGGGUUAGUAGUAGGAACAGCAGCAGCUAUUUGAUUUAACUGAGAUUCAAUCAUUUUAUUAAAGCUAAUUUGAUUCUUGAUGGCAGUAGAGAAAUUAUCCAUUCUAUUGUUUAUAUUUUCUAGCAUUUUAUCAUUAGAUGCCAAUUUCUUAGAUAGGUUGUCCAUUAGCUUCCCUUGAUUAGACACUAACUCCCUCAAAGGUGGAAAAUUACUAUUGUUGUUGUUGUAAGAAUUGUUACCUUGAUAAUUACCUGAGUAGUUAGGCCUCUAUUGAUUCCAACCUUGAUUUUGUUGAGGACGGUUAUAGUAGUUAUUGUUGUUGUUGUUGAUGUAGUUCACAUCCUCAAGUAUAUCGGGGCAGUGGUUGCCUGAGUGUCCAGUGUCUCCACACUCCUCACAAGUCAUGUGAGAGUCGUAGAUGUGCAUAACUUCUUUCCUGUCUCCAGCUCUAUCGUCGAGCUUCUUCAUGAGCAGGUCUAGCUUUGCAGACAGCAUGUCUACCUCCUUCAGCUGAUGCAUACCUCUACCUCUCUUGCGUGUCUGGGUCCUCUAUUCAUUCUAGCCUUGAUUGGACACCAUCUUCUCCACAAGAGUUGUGGCUUGUGGUAUAGUAAGUGAUAAGAAUGCUCCUCCAGCUGCAGCAUCCAUGGUCUCUCGGGCACUGUUGCCGAGCCCGUGAUAAAAUGUCUGCAUCAAUAGCCAACUCUCCAUUCCAUGAUGGGGACAUUCUAAGAUGUAGUCUUGAAAGCGCUCCCAUGCUUCUAGAACAGAUUCAUCAUUUUGUUGCUGAAAACUUGUAAUCUUCCCACGGAGAGCAUUGGUCUUGCCCAUGGGAAAGAACUUUGCUAGGAAGUUUGUUGAGCAGAGUGCCCAUGUAGUAUUCUUCUCCUUUGUAGCGUAGAACCACUGCUUCGCUGUUCCUAACAGUGAGAAUGGGAAGAGGCGAAGUAGUAUAGCGUCUUUGGAAACUCCUGCUAUGGUGAAUGUGUUGCAAAUCUCCAGGAAGUGUUGUAAAUGAGCACUAGCAUCUUCGUGUGCCUUCCCACAGAACUGGUUGGAUUGCACCAUGUUGAUAAGUCCAGGCUUGAGCUCAAAGUUGCCAUCGAUCUCUGCAGCAGGUCCAGUGCGGAUGUUGUCCGUAGUGGGAGCUGAGAACUCGCGGAUUGAUUUGUUCGCCAUGGCUUCGAACUCUGAAGACAAGUUCCGGUGAUCUUCUUGAUUGGAUGAAGCUUCUUGCUGAAGUGUUGAUGAUUUCUUCUUGGCUCUCGUCUUCUUGAAUAAUGCUUCGGGAUUGUCAAUAAAAUUUCCUGGAAGAUGUCUUCUAUUCAUACAUUCCCCUGCAUAAGAUAAAAUAGAAAAAUAUCGGGGUAAAACUGUAUGAGAGAAUAGAUAAGCUCAAUCAUAUUAGUGAUGCGAAUGAUAACUCAAAAUCUUUUAUUCCAUUCCUGAUUGGUAAUCAACCUUCCCCGACAACGGCGCCAAAAAUGCUUGUUGGAUAUUCUUAACAUCAUUACCAGAAGUAGACUAAGUUCUCUAAAUCUAGUAACGGUGCCAAAAAUGCCAAACCUAUCCCUCACACCACUUAAGCCAAGUUGUCAUCCCCACCAUGAUAUGAGAGACGCGGUAUUGAAAUAUGCAAAUGCUCUUCUAAAUAAAUAAUGAAUGGGAUCUGCAAGCGCACAGAUUAAUACCGAUGCAGCAUUUUAACCGGGAAGUAUUCCAGGUAUCGUUAUUUAUAUUUUUACCACUGGGAAGGGAUUAGAAAUCAUCACUAUUGAUUACAGAAUAGAAUAUGAGAUUGAGCAUCUAUCAUUGCAUGUAUAAUUGAGAACAUUAUAUCUAACUCUUCAUACAGAGAUAAGUGUCACAUAAAAGAUAUAUGAAAUAAUAAUAGUGACAAGGAUAACUAAUCUGAUCUAGCCACAUAAUAAAUAUGAUAAGCACCUCAAUUAGAUACUCUAGAAAGUCAUUAGCAUGGUAUGAGAACGAACUACAAGAAUAUUCCCUAAAUUAUUCUUAACUAUAUAGCCUAGCAUUAUCAUAGUUAGUGCAAGCAUACUUAGCAAUCAUUGUGAGACAAGACUACGCCCAUGCAUAGUGAUAUUAGCAAGGAAUAUGAGAAACAUAGCAAUCACUCCCCUGUAAUAAUGUUGCUCUGCCAGCCCAAUACACGAGAGGGGGACUAUAUAAGAAUCAAUGAAGCUGUCACUAUCACGAACCACCCCACGAUCUGGCAUAUUGGGUACAAUCGCAGAUAAAUACGGUAUAAGCACCACGCCUACACAAUAUCUAUCAUUUACCCAUGGAUCCGAUGGACAAACGCUAUACGAUCCUAAGCAUGUAUAUAGUUCCAAUUUAGCUAUGCCAAGUACAUAACUAUGAUAAACUAAGAACAAUAUAAUCUUCAAUAUAAGCAAGUAGAGCAAAGUCAUAAGCAAUAUAUUGAAGUAGAACAAAGUCAUAUUCAUAAUAUUGAAGAACAAAGAUAAUUAGAAAGUAAUUAGAAGCACAAUUAGAGAAUUACUGUAACAGAACCGACCAAAUUAUAAGAGAUUAAGCCUAAUAGUGACCAUUUGCAUAGUCGAACCAUCACGCUUAAGCCCAUAUAAUCCCGGUAGUCCGUGAAAUCUCGAAGGAUUUCAAACCACACAUCGCAUACAGCCAAGAUCGUAAUAAGUUUAGCGGUCGCCAUCCACAAGUACAUCCAAAUUACAACAUUCAUGAAACACAUCGGAGUGCUUAUAGUUAUUACAAACCAAGUUCUUCAAGUAGCGGAAGCUUCAUAUUUCGAAAAUACAACACACACGAUAAGUCUGAUACAGUGCCAUAGUUCGGUCAUUCCCACAAAAGCAAAAGAAGAGACAGAGUGACCAUCGCCCUUGGUCUAGUCAUCACCCAUAGCUGGGUACAGACAGAGGAUGCAAUAACCGUAGUACAUUUGACCAUCUGCAAAACAACAUGGGAAUAGAACCCUGAGUACGAGAAGGUGCUCAGCUAGACUUACCCGUCAUAACUUAAAAUAAAGACUCAUCAAGGAUCAUGAAGGCUAUUUAGUGGGGUAGCUGACAACCAUUUUGCAAAAACCGCAAGGUUUUAUUACCUGAACCUACAAUAAUCUUUUCUGCUUUUAAUCUGCUCAAGUUGAAAGUAUCAUUACCUAUUCUCUAGGUUUGCUCCUGUGCUAUUACAAGCAAGUAUGAGACUAUGAUAGUACCUCAUCACAGCAAUCCUAAACCUGUUUCCUUAUACCCCAAGUGUUCCAUAGUCCUUACUACGAGGACGAAGCUCAUGUCAAGUGCUCACUAUCCAGGAGCGAUGGCGAUUCGAAUCGAUUUCUAACCAGCUGGCGAGGUAUUCCCCACACAAACCACACUCACUGAUCAAGUGAGCUACAGAUCACCGUAUUACACUAUCCAGGACCAAUUCGCGGGUUCGGCAGGCACCGCCAGUACCCGAGGACCGUUCCGGCGACCGAGGUAUCCAAGGUAUACCAGGGUUGCGCGCCGCGCCCUCGUCGUUCUCCUCAACCACCACCAAUACAGCGCGUGGCGGCUCGAUUCCCGGCCCGGAUAGUGUUCAGGCUUCGCGGUCGGAACGACUUAUCCUUCCAGCUAAGUGUGGGGCAUGCGUUCAACAUGACAAGAGGGCCGUCAACGAUCGGUCCUUAAUCGACACAGGCAGGGGCACUAUGGGCAACCCACCAUAAGACCCUGCCCGGUCUCCAAUUACUUUCCACACUUGGUUAUUUCUUUCCCCAGCAACCAAUGCUUAAACAAGUCGGUAUCCACCUAUAUCUCGCAGGUGACAGGACAUCACCCGACUUUUACCGGACUAAGCAAGCUAAGCAUAGACUCCGCGCCCAUCUACAUAGGACAAGGUAGAUAACGAGUAGGGAUAACAAGGAGUACAUAUGCAGCAACGGUAUCAGACAACUCCUAUUACUUAUAUGCAAUAUAGUAGAACCAGUGUAAUAUAUAUAUAGUAAGUUAGCGAGAAUAGGGAGACUUAGAAUGCUCCGGGGCUUGCCUUUCUCAAACGUGCUGGGUCGGUGAUCCGGGCACUCUUGCAGUUCCUCUCCGGGCUCUUGUGCUUCCGGAGGUUCCUGCUCCUGAAGCUCCUCGGGUUCCCCGGGUCCCACUUCGUUCUCCUGCGAGCCUGUAUGAUGCAUAUAUGCUCAUGAGUGGAGUGCGAGAUGCCCGAGUGGAUGCUUAUAUGAGAGAGUACCAGAAGAGUCAUGUUUGUGAUGCAUAGGUAAUGCACUUGGUCAUGCUUAUUACAAGGUAGUUAACAUCACCCAAGAAUAAACAAUUGAACCAAACACCUAUUACAUUCUCUUCGAUCAUUAUUUUUCAAAUGCAAACAGCAACCUCUAUGAUGCUUCAAAGAUACACCAAACUCAAUUCAUUCCAUGCCACCUAUAUAUAUACAACCAUUUAUAGUUUUCUUUAUUCAUUUCUAAGCCCAUUAAAAUGACAUGCAAUUCUGUUCAUCAAUAAAUUCCACAAAAAUUACAGGAGACUCCCAGCUAAGCAUAAAGUUUACUGAAAAUUUUUCAUAAUUUUUGGUUACUUAUUUUGAGCCACAAAAAUCACAAGAUUAAUUAAUAAGGUAAGUAAAAUCACCCUACUGUGAUAUAAGUGUCAAACAACAGAUUUCAUAUUUUUACAAUUUGUCUAAUAUCAUAAGAAACAUCCACAAAAUUUUCCAGAUUUAUUGCACGACUCAAUUAAUUAUUAAAAAUCAUAAAGUACUGCCAUGCAAGCAUUUAAAUUACCAUAAAUUCAUUUAUACACCCAAUAAUAGGUAACAAUAUUUUCUCAGUGAGUAAACACACAUGCAGAGCCAGCAAAAUAAGUUUCACAUUUUUCUGAGCCAUAUUUUAUUUACUAUGCAUUUUCCAAGUUUAACAAAAACAUGGAUUAAUUAUACUUACACAGAAAAGUUACUCAAACAUGACAUGCAAUUAUACUAGGAUAUAGAUCUGGAAAUAAGGAACACACCAAAAUUUAUUUCACCAUUUUUGGAGCUAUAUUCAUCAAGAUAUAGAUUUUUGAACAUUUAAAUCAUUUCCUGGGAAUUAUUUUUCUGAAAACAAAACAAUUCCACCCCGCGACCCGCUAGGUGCACCCGGUGCAGUGCACCCGCGGCCGCUGACGAGCGGACCCGCCUGCCAGCAGGGCCCGCUGGUCAGAGCGCAGAGGGGGAAGGAGCUCCGGCGAGCCGGAGCUCACCGUCGGCGACCCCCUUUCGGCGAAUCAAGUGGCUCUACACGUUCUACGGAUCACGGCGGACCUAGGGCACUCAUUUGCGCGGCCUAAAACGGACCGGAGCAGGCUCGCCACCGGCCAUGGCGGAGCGGCGGCGCUGCUCGUCGUCGGUACGGGACUCCGGCUCGGUAGAGCGUGGCUGGAGGGGCUUGCGAGCAUCGCGGUGCCAAGGCGAACACGAUGCGCCAACUACGCAGCACCGGAAGGCAUGGAGGCGCGCGGAUCACGCGUGCGGCGGCGGAGCUCUCGCCGGAGAAGAAAGCGGGGGCGAGCGGGGCUCACCGUGCCUUACCGAGCGCUCCGAUGAGCGUUUCGCAACGGCGGAACGAAAGCGAAGCUCGGGGAAGAACUAAUUGCAGAGUGGCGCACGUACGGGGGAGGAACAGCCGAGGCGGAGCUCGGGCUCCAAUGGCGACGGCGGCGCUCUGCGCGUGCGGGGCGAGGGCGAGAAAGCGAGAGAGAGAGAGCUGAGGGGCGCGAAUGGGAGCGGGGGCGGAGGCGAGCGCGACCGGGGCGCUUUGGUGGCCGACCGGGGCGCGUCCUCGCUGCCGCAUGCCCGCCACGCGGCGGCCGAGCCCUGCCGGCGCGCCACGGCGUCGCGGCGAGGCCGUCCGCGCGCGGACGUGGGCGCGAGCGCGGAGGAAGGGAGGAGGGGAGAGCGCGGGCGGGCCGAGCCGGCUUCGGCCAGUGGGCCAGAAGCGAGGCCGCGGCCUGCUAGCGCCCCCUUUUCCCUUUUUCCCUUUUUUUUUUAAAUUCUUUUCUCAAAUCCUCUUCCAAAGGCCUUUUGACUAUUUUCAAAUCAUUUUCACCAUUUUCACCCAAAAGCAAAGUUGUUCCAAAACAAAAACUCUACCACUUUGUUUUAACAAGCAAAACCAAAUUCCAAACAGAAUUUGAAUUACAAGUUAAAACUCAGUUCUAGGUUUUAAUUAAAUUCUUUUUGGAUAUUUUUGUAUAAAUUCCAUUUCUCAAAUUCCAUAGCUCCAAAAAUUGCACAAAAAUAUUCUAAAUGCUGCUCACACAUAAAUCAACCUAAUUUGAAUUUUUCACAAUUUUAGGAGCAAGUAUCAUAUUUUUAACAUAUUUAAAACACAUGAAAUAAAGCACAUAAAAUCAUAAUUUGCUCAAGAGUGUCAUGCUCAUGAUGCUUAUGUUUGAUGGAAUGCUUAUGCAUGACUUUGGUGAGACUAAGUGCAUGCUUAACACCUAGGGUGUUACAAUUACCAAGAAUCCUCCUGACAGAUCCGGAAACCAAUCAAAGAUUGACUCCUUCUAGUUCUAAUCCUAUGUAGCUAUGCUAAUCUAGAUGUCUAAUUGAUGUGGUGGCUCUAAUCUUGAUCAGAGGCUUCUUCUCCCUUGAUGGAACAAUGAAUUAGGGUUGAGAGGCUCCCUCCUCCAGGGGCCAGGGGGUCUGGUUUUAUAGUCCCUCCAAGUGAAUAUGGGCCCUUGGAUCAAACCGACAUAGAUUGCAUGGUUUAGAUUCAUCCUUUGGGUCGGUGGAGAUCUCCCGCAAAGCAGAGUCCUGAUUGGACUCAGGGGCAGGGUGGGCGCCCUGACCAACUGGGCGGCCGCCCAGGGUCAGGCUCCGUUUCGCCUCCGCUUCGGUCUCGUGGCUUCUGGAGUCUUCUAGAUGUAAGAUAAUUGCGCAGCACGUUAAUAUCUUUACGUAAUCCCGACAUGUGGGCCUUUCUUCCAUAUUUCCUGAUAACCCCCUGCAGAAAUAGACAAACACCAAAACUCAUGGAAUUCUGUCAAAUACAACCCUAAGUCUGGAUCUUGGUUUCAUUUGGAUCCUUUUCUUUAUUUAUUUGAUAAUUAAAUUUGAUACUUAAGGAUCGUCAACACUCAUCAUAGCAUUCAUGCAAUUAUUUAUCAUAUAACCCAAGUGUUCCAUAGUCCUUACUACGAGGACGAAGCUCAUGUCAAGUGCUCACUGUCCAGGAGCGAUGGCGACUCGAAUCAAUUUCUAACCAGCUGGCGAGGUAUUCCCCACACAAACCACACUCACUGAUCAGGUGAGCUACAGAUCACCGUGUUACACUAUCCAGAACCAAUUCGCGAGUUCGGCAGGCACCGCCAAUACCCGAGGACCGUUCCGGCGACCGAGGUAUCCAAGGUAUACCAAGGUUGCGAGCCGCGCCCUUGUCGUUCUCCUUAACCAUCACCAAUACAGCGCAUGGUGGCUCGACUCCCGGUCCGGUUAGUGUUCAGGCUUCGCGGUCGGAACGACUUAUCCUUCUAGCUAAGUGUGGGGCAUGCGUUCAACAUGACAAGAGGGCUAUCAACGAUCGGUCCUUAAUCGACACAGGCAGGGGCACUACAGUCAACCCACCAUAAGACCCUUCCUGGUCUCAAAUUCCAUUCCACACUUGGUUAUUCUCUACCAAAGCAAUCACCGCUUAAUCAAGCAGGUAUCCACCUAUAUCUCGCAGGUGACAGGAAAUCACCCGACUUCUACCAGACUAAGCAAGCUAAGCAUAGACUCCGUGCCUAUCUACAUAGGACAAGGUAGAUAAACGAGUGGUGACAUCAAGGAGUACAUAUGCAUCAAUGGUAUCAAGCAAUUCCUAAUCACUUAAAUGCAACAUAGUAGAACAAGCAUAAUAUGUUAUUUAAGUUAGCGAGAGUAGGGAGACUUAGAAUGCUCCUGGGCUUGCCUUUCUCAAACGUGCUUGGUCUGUGAUCCGGGCACUCGUGCAGUUCUUCUCCGAGCUCCGCUCCUCCUAGAGGUUCCUGCUCCUGGGUCUCCUCCUGCUCCUCGGGUCCCACCUCGUUCUCCUACAAGCCUUUAUGGUGCAUGUAUGCUCAUGAGUGGUGUGCGAGAUGCCCGGGGUGCAAUGCUUUAUGCGAGAGAAUACCCAUGACCAUGACAUGAUGCAUAGAUGAUUAAUGUAGCCAUUUUUACAAGGUAGUCAACGUCAUCCGAGAACAUGCAAUCACACUAAACAUCUAUUACAUUCUCUUCUACAAAUUGUCCUCAAGUGUAACCAGCAAACUCACAAGAUGCUUCAAAGAUACACCAAACCCCUUUUAUUCUACUUAAUCUAUAUAUAACAAUUCAUAAUUUCUUUAUCCAUUUUUAGGCCUACCAAAAUAGCAUACAUUUCUGUUUAUCGAUAAAUUCCACAAAAAUUAGAGUAGACUACCAGUCAAACCUAAAGUCUACGAUAAAUUUUUCAUAAUAUUUGGACACUUAUUUUGAGCUACAAAAAUCACAAGAUUAAUUCAUAAAAGAAAGUAUAAAUACUCUACUGUGGUAUAAGUGUCAAACAGCAGAUUUCAUAUUUUUAUAAGUUACUUAUUAUCAUAAGAAACACUCACAAAAAUUUCCAGAUUAAUUGCAUGAUCCAAUUAUUUAUUAAAAAUCAUAAACCACUACCAUGCAAGCAUUUAAAUCACCAUAAAUUCAUAGAUACAGUAAUUAAUGUGUAACAUAUUUUUCCUAGAGCCUAAUCAUCCAUGCAAAGCCAAUAAAAUAAGUUUCAUAUUUUUCUGAGCUAUAUUUUAAUUACUAUGCAUUUUACAAUUUCUAGCAAAAACAUGGAUUAAAUAUAAUUGCACAGAAAAGUUGCUCAAACAUGACAUGCAAUCCAACUAAACUGUAGACCUGAGAUUCUAGAACACAUCAAAGUUUAUUUCAUUAAUUUUGGAGCUAUAAUUCUCAAAAUAUGGAUUUUAGAACAUUUAAACCAUUUUCUGGAAAUCAUUUUUCUGAAAAAACAAUUCAAAUCCACCCCGGGACCAGCCAGGUGUACCCGGUGCAGUGCACCCGUGGUCGCUGACGAGCGGACCCGCCUGCCAGCCGAGCCCGCUUGCCAGAGCGCAGAGAGGGGAGAACUCCGGCGAGCCGGAGCUCACCGUCGGCGACCUCUUUCGGCGAAUCAAACUGCUCUACGCGUUCUACGGCUCAAGGCGAACUCAGCGCACCCAUUUGCGUGGCCUGAAAUGGACCGAAGCAAGCUCGCCACCGGCCAUGGCGGAACGGCGGCACGGCUCGCCGCGGUCCGGCCACCACACGGCGGUAGAGCGCGCGCUUAUGGCUGGAAUAGGUGCGCGAGGCCAAGGCGAAGCUAACGCAUCAAAAAGCGCGAGAAAUGGCGGGGUAGAGGGGGAGAACCGCGGAGACCGUGAGGUCGCCGGAGUUCCGACUCACUCCGGUGAGCUCUCCCGGGCACGCGGGACUCACCGAGCGCGGUAGAACGCGAGCACGCGAUGCGGAAGGACGAGGCAGAGCUGGUGGUGGUCGCGGAGAGGAAGAAGAAGGCCGGAGCUAGCCGAGAGAGGAGCUCCACGUCGUCGGCGACGAUGGCGUGCGGCGGAGCGGCGGCUGCUGCGCGCAAGCGAGCGGAGGGCGAGAGCGCGAGUGGAGGAGUGCAAAUGGCAGCGGGGGCAGUGGCGGACGCGGCCGGGCGCUCCUGGUGGCCGACCAGGGCGCGUCCAGGCUGCCGCAUGCUCGCCACGCGGCGGCCAGGCUCUGCCGGCGCGCCACGGUGGCAUGGCGCGGCCGUCCGCACGCGCGGGCACGGCGCGGGCGCUGGCGCGGGAAAGGGGAUGAGCGCGGGCGGGCUAGGCCGGCUUCGGCCAGUGGGCCAGAAGUGAGGCUGCGGCCUGGUAGCAACCCCUUUUCCCUUUUCUAUAUUUUUAUUAAAUUUCUUUUCUCAAACUCUUUCUAAUUUCAUUUGGACCAUUUUAAAUUCAUUUUCACGUUUUUCUCCCAGAAUGAAAGUUGUUCCAAAACAAAAACCCUACAACUUUGCUUUAAGUCGAAUUCACAAAUUCCAAUUAGAUUUUGAAAUACAACUCAAAACUAGUUAUAGGUUUUUAAAUAAAUCUAUUUUCGGAAAUUUAGUAUAAAAUCAAUUUCUCAAUUUCUAUAGCUCCAAAAAUAUCACAAAAUUACUCUUAAAUAUUCUAACACUCAUUUCAACCUAAUUUUAAUAUUUCACAAUUUUAGAAACAAGCAUGAUAUUUUUAACAUUUUUAAUUCACAUGAAAUAAAGCACACAUAAAAUCAUACUUGAGUUAUUAUUGUGCUCAUGGGAUGUGAUGCUUAUGCCUUGCUUGAUGAGAAUGCUUAUGAAUAUUUUAUGAGACUAAGUGCAUGCUUAACACCUAGGGUGUUACAACUUUGAUGGCACCAAUUAUGCUUAUUGGAAGGUCAAGAUGACCGCCCAUCUCAAGUCAAUCAAUAGAGAAGUUUGGAAGAUAACCAAAACAAAGUUUAAGGUUGCAAAUGAGAAUGCACCUACACUGGUUGAAGAAAAGAAGCUUCAAUGCAAUGACAUUGCAAUAAGUGCUCUUCAUCAAGCUCUUGAUGACAAGACCUUUGAGCAAAUCAAGAACAUUGAGAUUGCUCAUGAUGCAUGGGCAAAACUAGAAGAAACAUUUGAGGGCACCAAGGGAACCAAGACCGCCAAGGCAUACAUACUCCAAGAAAAGUUCUCAAGCUUCAAGAUGCAAGAAGAUGAAAGUGUGCCGGAGAUGUUUCACCGGUUGCAAGUUAUUGUGAAUGAGCUCAAGGCACUUGGGGAAGAAGUGAGGGAUAGUCAAUUCUCUUUAAAGUUCUUGAGAAGCUUGCCCAAGAGAUUUGACACAUUGAUCACCGUGCUAGUCAAGACCACACUUAGUGAGUCAACUCCUCAACAAGUGUUCCAAGAAGUGAUGACCGAUGAUGCUUAUAGAGAAGAUGAUGAGAAUGAUUAGUUGAUCAAGAAGAAGAAGAAGAAGAUGGAUGAGAAGAAGAAAAGUGUGGCAUUCAAAGCCUCCUCAUCCAAGGGCAAAGCCAAGAUAGAAUCAUCAAGUGAAGAAGAAGCAAGCUCUUGUGAUAGUGAUGAACAUGAGGAGAUGGCUCUUCUUGUCAAAAGAUUUGGCAAGUUUAUGAAGAAGAAGAGCUAUCGGGCAAGAAGGAAGAAUAGCUCCUCCAAGAAGAAUGACCAUUCCAUGAGGUGCUUUAGAUGCCAUAGCAAGGAUCAUCUCAUCGCCAAGUGUCAUUAUGAUAGUGAUGAUGAAGAUGCUAUCAAGAAGGAAAGAAAUAAGCAAAAGAAGAAGCGAGAAAAGAAGGAAGGCUCAAACAAUAAGAAGGGUGAUGCCCAUGUUGCAAUUUGGGAUAGUGAUGAAUCCUCAAGUGAUGAUGAGAGCACCAAGAAGUUCUAGGCACAUGCUAACAUUACAAUUCAAGGAAAAAGCUCCAUCUUCGACACUCCAUCAUGCUUCAUGGCUAAGGCCACUAAGGUAUCAUCCGAUGAUGAGAGUGACCAUGCUAGUGAUAAUGAUAGUGAUGAUGAUGAACCAACUAAAUAUGAACUAAUCACGAUGCUAGAAGAUUGCACUCAUCACUAUAAAGAAACUAGAAAGGAGUGGAAGGCCUUGCUAAAGGAUAAGAAAACCCUUGAGCAAGAACUUGAUGAGCUUAGAGCAUCUUAUGAGAGUCUAAAGGAAGACCAUAAGAAGCUUCAAAUGGCUCACAAUAAGCUUGAAGAAGCUCAUUCCUCUCUAGUUAACAAGUGUAAAAAUGAGCCAACUAAAAUUGAAAAGCUCAAACUUGCAACAUAGGCAUAACAUGUGAUAUCUUGAGUAAGCAUAUUGUUAUUGCUUCUACUAACCCUUCAUGUAGCUCAUCUACAUCAUCCUAAUCUAGUGGUGAUUGUUUCACUUGUGACACCACACUAAAAGUUGAAAAUGAAAUUCUCAAGAAGGAGGUGAAAGAGCUCAAUCACACCUUAGCCAAGGCUUAUGGUGAUAAGGACCGCUUGCUUAUGUCCUUGGGUAGCCAAAGAACUUCUCUCUACAAAGAGGGAUUGGGCUAUAAACCCAAGAAAGGCAAAGCCGCCUUUGCUCCUCACAAGACUAGUUUUGUGAAGAACAAUGGCCGGUAUUGCAAAGCUUGCAAGCAACAAGAAACCCAAAGCUAAUGUAUGAACAAGAAACCCAAAGCUAAUGUAUCCUCAAUUAAGCUUAAUUCUUUCUAUGUGCUUACCAAGGAUACAAAAGGUGUUCAUGCUAAGUUCAUUGGUGCACCAUGGAUGGGCUCAAAGAAGAAAGUCAUAUGGGUACCAAAGAGCUUAGUUGCUAACCUUGGAGGACCCAAUCAAGUUUCGGUACCUAAAAGAAUUGAUCUUUUCUUGUAGGUCAAUUACAAAGCUGGAGGAAGGCAUUGGGUGCUUGAUAGUGGAUGCACUCAACAUAUGACUGGAGAGUCUUGUAUGUUCAAAUCAAUUGAUACAAAUCAAAAUGGUGGCUUUGAUUCUAUCACUUUCGGCAACAACAAGAAUGGCAAGGUCAAAGGGCUUGGUAAAUUUGCUAUCUCAAAUGACAUGAGCAUAUCAAAUGUGUUACUAGUUGAGAGCCUUGAUUUCAAUCUCUUGUCAAUUGCACAAUGUUGACGGUCCUUAAGUACCAAAUAUAAUCGUCAAAGAAAUAAAUAAAAGGAUCCAAAUGCAACCAACACCCAGACUUAGGGUUUUAUCUGACAGAAUUCCACAAGUUUUGGUGUUUGUCUAUUUCUGCAGGGGGUUAUCAGGAAAUAAGGAAGAAAGGCCCACAUGUCGGGAUUACAUAGAGAUAUCAACGCACCGCGCAAUUUUCUACCAUCUACAAGACUCCAGAAGCCACGGGAAGAAAGCAGAGGCCGAAAGGGGCCAGGCCUAGGGCGCCCGCCCUGAGGACCUGGGCGCCCGCCCACCUCUAGACUCCGUUCGGGACUCUCUUCGCAGACGAAGUUCCACCGACCUAAAGGAUCAAGGAUAACGUAGUACCACAUCGCCUACCGACCCAAAAACGCAUAGAGGAGGACUAUAUAAGGAGACCCCCCUGGCCCUCGGAGGAAAACCUCUUCUCUAAAUAAAAUUUCAUUUUAGGCUUAGCAACCAAUGUAAGUAGAAAUAGAUCUUCUAGUUUCUACUAGAUUGAGAGAGAUAGAGUGGAGGUGUAGAUCGGAGGAAGGCCGGCCUGUCGGUGUCUACUCCGAGUUGUACCUGCGGGAUCAAGUCUUCUAACCCAAGGCUUGCUUCUAAGAUUCUUCAGUAAUUCGACUUCUAAUUCUAGUAAGUUCUUGUUUUAUUGUUCUUUGGUUUAUGAGUUUACUUUAAUCCUCUUCCGGUUGAGUAUUAGAGUAAUCAUUGCUAGCGUAAACGUGGUGUUUAGGCUAGGGUACUCAUAGAUAUCCCCUGACUAGCUGGACCGUGGUAGUAUAGAGGAACGUGACAUUUCCGAGUUACCUUUGUAUCCCAUAUCUUGUUAGCAGGACGGGUAGGUUUAUAGGUGCAGGUCGAACAUCCUUUGUGGUGUCUAGAUUCUGUGAGCUUCCCCAAUAGAACAAUAGAUCAUCCUUACCAAGGUUAGUACGAGACUACGAUUGCAGUCUUCUCUAUACAUCACUCACAUCGAGAAACAUUCUUUGUAGCCUAAAGGGAUAGUAGCAAUAGAUUUGGUUAGUCAGAUGCACCCUUUCUCCCACUGGUGAAAAUAUAAAUACGAUACUCUGGAAAACCUCCCGGGUGAAAUGCUCACCGAUAUCUGUGCGCUUGCGGAUCAUUUCCUUAUUGCGUUACCAAAUAUCAACAAGCAUUUCUGGCGCCGUUGCCGGAGAGAAAGACGGUUUGCUGAGAUAACUUUGAGUCUUGCUAUUAUCUUGUAAUAUAAUUUUAUACUUUUAUUCUUUUAUCUUUUUAUCUUUAUGGAUAACUUAAAUUCCAUACCUAUUAUUGACCAGCCAUAAACCAUGGGAGUCAACAAGUCCUGCCCCUAAUUAUGAUCUGAGUCCGGAGUUGAUUGCAAUAGGUCAAAACCAACCCUUUUCUAUAGCCGAGGUCCUAUCUUUUAAUCAAGAAGAUAAUGCACUUUUAACUACACCUAGGGAAUCUUUUAAUCUUUCUAUAAAUUCUAGUUUAGACCUAGCCCUACAAGACCAUGUUUUCCCUGGAUAUUUUCACAUUGGUCUUAAUCAUAUAACAUUUGGUAGAGUUUUUCUUUCUUUAUCUCUUAGUAAAGCAAGGUAUGUCUUCAUUCGUGGACAUCCUUCUUGUACUAGUCUUCAUAAAAAAAUCUAAGAGAUAGAGAAGGAAUCAUCUCCUAGACGAGGAAAGGAAGUUUCAAUAGCCAAUUUCCAACAUUUCAAUCCCAUGAUUCGGCUAUCCAUCCCAUCCUUGAGCUUAAUAGUUUCUACUAUGCUCUUUCUCUUGAACCUCCCGAUAAUCCUAUGAAUCUCUCUAGACAUCCCAUGCAUAAGAAGGAGGAUCGAGAAGAGCAACAUCAAUGGCUAGAGGGCAUUAAAAAUCCAUGUGCUAUCACCAUUGAAUGGAUAGAUAAAACAAACUUGAGAGACAAUCCUAGAGGAAUUUUAAGCAUUUGUGAAGAAUCAUCCUUGGAGUUUGAGAAUGAGAGAAACAACAGUGAGCAUUGUAGGGUAUUUUAAACGCAAACAAAAAAAUCCGCAAGCGCACGAAUACCGAUGUAGCUUUCACCCGGGAGUAUUCCAGAGUAUCGAUUUUUCACAGAGAACGUGAGUGUACUAAUUAAGAUCCAAGAACGCCCAAGGAUAACUAUAUAAUUAUUAUUGGUGGGAAGAAAGGAAGUUUCCUGAGAGUUCUCUAGUUGAUCUCAGAAUCAAGAAUUACUUCAAGAUUAUCUAUAUCGGGACAUCAGAGCACUAACCACAGAAAGAGAUGAGAAGGGGGCUAGGAAGGUCUGACUACGGUCCUACAAACACCGAUCCGAACGUGGUGUAAUACGUCGACCGUUAGGGCUGUCACUACCCUAAGGCUACCACAACAAUCCGCAGGAUUGGGUGCAAUUCUAGGUAAUUGCAAGGCAAAAGACCACGUCUAAUCUAUUAAUUACUACACUAGCGUUAUAAAGACUAGAGCACUUGAUGCAAGCCGGAAUCCAAUAAAUAACUCGAAUGUAAAUAAAAGUAAUUAAAGAACUCAGGAAUUAUGAAUUGAAGAACUUGAAGAAAGAUGAAGAACGAACCAGUUGCUGCAAAAGUAUAAUGUUGAGGAAGAUCCGACAGAUCCGGCUCCUCCUCCGCUCUCCUCUUCUCUCUCCCUAUUUUCUAGAUUACAACUAGAACUAACUAGAACUAGAACUAGAGGAACUAUAACUAGAUGAACUAGAACUAGAUCUAGAUGAACUAGAGGUAGAACUAGAAGAACUAGAGGGAUCCUCUCUACUUGGAUGAAGAAUUGAAACUCUAGCUUUGAUUAUGUAGAAGAGGUAUGAUCUCCAGGGGCCAGGGGGUCUGGUUUUAUAGUCCCUUCAAGUGAAUAUGGGCCGUUGGAUCAAACCGACAUUGAUUGAACAGUUAUGCUUGAUCCUUUUGGUCGGUGGAGCACGAUCCGCAAGUUUGGACGUGAUUGGGCAGAACUCCAGGGCAGGCGCCCUCAGGACUUGGGCGGGCGCCCUGUCCCUGAGCCCUCUCAGCCUCCGCUUCCUUCCCGUGGCUUCUGGAGUCUUCUAGAUGAUAGAAAAUUGUGCGGCACGUUAAUAUCUCUAUGUAAACCCGACGUGUGGGCCUUUCUUCCAUAUUUCUUGAUAACCCCCUAUAGAAAUAGACAAACACCAAAACUCAUGGAAUUCUGUCAGAUAAAACCCUAAGUCUAGGUGUUGGUUGCAUUUGGAUUUUUUUCUAUGAUUAGUUGACGGUUAAAUAUGAGCAUUAAGGACCGUCAACAAGCUCCCCCAAGCUUAAACUUUGCUCAUCCCUGAGCAAAGAUGGACUCAAGAGUUUCUGCAGUGGUUUCAUGCCUUAAAGAUACACAUGCGUUCAAACUAGAUCUCAUCUCUAGGUUAGGGUAAACUGUUAAGGCUUAAACUUACUCAUUUUACCUUUCACCAUGGGACUUGUAACCGUCAUUUCUGUCUUGAGUAGUUAAAAGAUAGAACGGUCUAGUCAAGAACCAUGUCUCUUGUUCUUCGAUUAACUAUAACUCUGGAGUUUUUGCAGAUUUUCAAAUAAAAUUCAGAGAUUCCUUGUAUGACUCUCUCUAGUCUCUCUUUUGUGGUAUUUCUGGAUCCUUACCAAGGCAGUAAUGGUAUAUGCCUUCUCUCAAAGUAUGUAGUAUUUUUGGUAUGAGGUAUACUGACAUUGCCUUCUCUCUCACCCUACUCUAAUAAGGUUUUGAUAUCUGGAGCUCAUAGGUGGGAGACAGCUAAUACAUACUUACAUGACAUUUAUUGCAUAGUCAAACUAUGGAUCUAGAAGAAACAAGUCAAUAAGUCAAAUCAAGAUGUUUAUGUGUUGCGAAUGAAUGGUGUAUGGUGAUGAUGGUGAUAACAAUGGUGAAAGUCUAAUUCUACUUGUGCUCUUUUCAGGGGAUACAUACCUCUCUUGCUCUUUAGAAACUUUUGAGGAGAAUGAGAUGCUCUAUAUUUUCUUUUUCUUUUCUCUCAGGUGGGUAUCUUGUACCCCUAAUUCUACUGUCGGACACUUGUCCAUUUUUACCUCUCGUCUCACUUUUUCUUUCUUUUGAGGUUCCGGGCACUUGCCCCUUUUUAUUUCGUCGUAUACUUUUUUUUCUCUCUCUUUUUUUUAGAGCACUCAUCUCAUGAGAUAAUAUAGCAAGUGGUAGUAACAAAUUAACUUGAGCAUUUAUUUCACAGGGGAAAAACAGAAAUAUUUUUGGCUAUUCUCUCCCGGAUUAGGAGUAGAAUAUUUUUGGGUGGUUCUGGAGAUGAAAAUGGAUAUAUGUGGAUGCGUACUUCUGGAGUAGAAGCAGCAUGUAUGAGUGAACGUGCAAGUGAAUCUUGAUUUAACCACAUGACAAGCUCCUACGGGUAUACACAGCUUGACCACACUCAAUGCUCAUAAGCAGUAAAAAGUAAAUGUGUGGCUCAAAGUCUAGAAAGCAUGUAUAUAUGGCUGUGGUAGGAAUUUAAACUCUCAUCAUAAAGGAACUCAUCAUGUGUUAUUUUAAAGAUUUUCAAAGAUAAAAUUCUCCAGAAUUCUAGCAUGUCUAGGAACAGAUAAACAACAGCUCAACCUUCCCAUAUCGUAUCCGUUAACGACUUAAACUUAAUAUCAAGUACUCUUCCCACAAAUUCAGGUUUAGAGCAAAUCUUAAUUAAUAACAGUCAGGCCUAAACUUGAGAGAGAUUUCAAUUUUGAGAACUAGUCAUGGCAGAGCAACUAUUCAUCAUUUCCAUGUGAGAGCUUAUCAUGAGCGUUCAUAGCAAACUUUAUUUAUUUAUUUAUUUAGCAAACUAAGCAAAGAUAUAUAUAUAUAAGCACAAAAUCUUUAUUUGGAUUUUUAUGAUUAUGCAUCUUUUUAUUUUUCAGCUAAAGUAUAAACGUGAGUAGAACACUUAGCUGGAUAAAUGGUGGUGCUCUCUCCCAAGCUAGAUUUUGACGUAAUUUCUCUAGUGUAGCUAGCAGGUGGCGGAGGUGUAUUCGAAUGUCAGCAGCACUCUGACAGCGAUUAGGAUGUCCUCCGUCUGCUAGUCUUCUUGGAUCCUUGAAUUAUGUGGAGCUCAAAUAGACAACAAAGCUUUGUGGAACUAGUUAAGUGUUAGCAUAAAUAUCUAGCCUUUAUCAUGUUGAGCCUCCUCAAUAAAUGUUACUCUCUUUAGUAGGAUCAUAAAUUUAUUUUUAUAAUUUUAUUUUUAUAGGACAGGAAUAUAUUUAUUUCAUUUUUACGCCACCACAGUGACACAGUGAAUGUACUUAUGAGUUUUAUGCCAUGAGCAUACUCACAUGGGGCUUACUAUUUUUAACAUUUUUAUUUUCUUUUUGAGAUGAUAUGUACCAGAUUAACUAAGCAAACUAUUUUAAAUAAUUGAAAGAAAAGGGAUAACUACCAAGUUUACCUCUUGGCAAUGUGUUCGAUGUUUUUAAGUCCUCCGAACAGGACUCUCCGUUUUCUCAGUCGUCCUGGGAUUCGCUGGAUGGCGUAGUCGUGGUUCCGGCGGCGUCUGCUCUUCAUGUAUAACUAUCUUCUUUCUCCAUACCUGACUCGGUGCUACGGUCUCCUCAGGACAGUUAUGUUCAAGCUGUAUGUCUUCAGACAUUAUCACUUCUCCUUCGUAGUUCGCCCAUCCGUCCUUGAUGAUUUGCCUUCUCUGGUUGUGGAUGCGUCGUCUUCUUCUUGUCCUGACCUGCUUAGAGUCUUCAACUAUAUAGUUAGGGUCAGUAAAAUAGCGGCGUACCUUCUCAGAGGGGAAGUUCAUGUGGACUUCUCCGGUUCCAAUGUAGAUGAUUAUUUUAACGGUGCUGAGGAACUGUCUCCCAAGGAUGAUGGGUGGAUCGUACUCGUCUUCUCCCAUGUCAAUGUUGGGUAUUCUUAACAUCAUUACUAAAAGUAGACUAAGUUCUAAAUCUAGCAACGGUGCCAAAAAUGCCAAACCUAUCCCUCACACCACUUAAGCCAAGUUGUCAUCCCCAGCAUGACAUGAGAGACGCGGUAUUGAAAUAUGCAAUUGCUCUUCUAAAUAAAUAAUGAAUGGGAUCUGCAAGCGCACAGAUUAAUACCGAUGCAGCAUUUUAACCGGGAAGUAUUCCAGGUAUCGUUAUUUAUAUUUUUACCACUGGGAAGGGAUUAGCAAUCAUCACUAAUGACUACAGAAUAGAAUAUGAGAAUGAGCAUCUAUCAUUGCAUGUAUAAUUGAGAACAUUAUAUCUAACUCUUCAUACAGGGAUAAGUGUCGCAUAAAAGAUAUAUGAAAUAACAAUAGUGACAAGGAUAACUAAUCUGAUCUAGCCACAUAAUAAAUAUGAUAAGCACCUCAAUUAGAUACUCUAGAAAGUCAUUAGCAUGGUAUUAGAACGAACUACAAGAAUAUUCCCUAAGUUAUUCUUAACUAUAUAGUCUAGCAUUAUCAUAGUUAGUGCAAGCAUACUUAGCAAUCAUUGUGAGACAAGACUACGCCCAUGCAUAGUGAUAUUAGCAAGGAAUAUGAGAAACAUAGCAAUCACUCCCCUGUAAUAAUGUUGCUCUGCCAGCCCAAUACACGAGAGGGGGACUAUAUAAGAAUCAAUGAAGCUGUCACUAUCACGAACCACCCCACGAUCUGGCAUAUUGGGUACAAUCGCACAUAAAUACGGUAUAAGCACCACGCCUACACAAUAUCUAUCAUUUAACCAUGGAUCCGAUGGAUAAACGCUAUACGAUCUUAAGCAUGUAUAUAGAUCGUAUCUAACUAAGCCAAGUACAUAACUAUGAUAAACUAAGAACAAUAUAAUCUUGAAUAUAAGCAAGUAGAGCAAAGUCAUAAGCAAUAUAUUGAAGUAGAACAAAGUCAUAUUCAUAAUACUGAAGAACAAAGAUAAUUAGAAAGCAAUUAGAAGCACAAUUAGAGACUUACCAAGAAUCCUCCUGACAGAUCUGGAAACCAAUCGAAGAUUGACUUCUUCUAGUUCUAAUCCUAUGUAGCUAUGCUAAUCUAGAUGUCUAAUUGAUGUGGUGGCUCUAAUCUUGAUCAGAGGCUUCUUCUCCCUUGAUGGAACAAUGAAUUAGGGUUGAGAGGCUCUCUCCUCCAGGGGCCAGGGGGUCUGGUUUUAUAGUCUCUACAAGUGAAUAUGGGCCCUUGGGUCAAACCGACAUAGAUUGUAUGGUUUAGAUUCAUCCUUUAGGUCGGUGGAGACUUCCCGCAAAGCAGAGUCCUGUUUGGACUCCAACAGGGGGCGGGCGCCCAGUAGGACAGGGCGGGCGCCCUGUCUCUGGCCCCGUUUCGCCUCCGCUUCGGUCUCGUGGCUUCUGGAGUCUUCUAGAUGUAAGAUAAUUGCGCAGCACGUUAAUAUCUUUACGUAAUCCUGACAUGUGGGCCUUUCUUCCGUAUUUCCUGAUAACCUCCUGCAGAAAUAGACAAACACCAAAACUCGUGGAAUUCUGUUAGAUAAAACCCUAAGUCUAGAUCUUGAUUUCAUUUGGAUCCUUUUCUUUAUUUAUUUGAUAAUUAAAUUUGAUACUUAAGGACCGUCAACAAACUCCCCCAAACUUACCUCUUGCUCAUCCCUGAGCAAGGAUAGACUCAGCUAUGGACCAGAAGUAGUUGCAAUUUGACGGUACACAUGCUUUUUAAAUAAGAUCUCAUCUCUGAGUGAGAGUAAACUGUCAAGACUUAAAACUUACUUACUUUACCUUCACCAUGGGACUUGUAACUGUCACUUCUGUCUUGAGUAGUUAAAAGAUAGAACAGUUUAGCCAAGUGCCAUGUCUCUUAUUCUUGAUCAGCUAUAGCUCUAGAGUUUUUGUAGAUUUUCAAAUAAAACUCAGAAAUUCCUUGUAUGAUUCUCUCAGGUCUCUCUUUUGUGGUAUUUUUGGAUCCUUACCAAGGCAGUGAUGGUAUAUGCCUUCUCUCAAGAUAUGUAGUAUUUGUGGUAUGAGGCAUAGUGACAUUGCCUUUUCUCUCACCCUACUCUAAUAAGGCUUUAAUAUCUGGAGUUCAUAGGUGGGAGAUAAAGUAUACAUACUUAGAAGACAUUUAUUGCAUAGUCAAACCAUGGAUCCAAAGAAACAAAUCAAUAAGCCAAAUCAAGAUGUGCAUGUGUGGCGAAUGAAUGGUGUAUGGUGAUAAUGGUGAUAACAAUGGUGGAAACAAUGGUGGUGGAAGUCUAAUUCUACUUUGCUCUUUUGAGGGGAUACAUACCUUCCUUGCUUUUGAAACUUUAUGAGGAGAAUGAGAUGCUCUUCUUUUUCUUGUCUCCCAGGUGGGCAUCUUGCACCCCUAAUUCUACUGUCGGACACUUGUCCAUUUUUACCUCUCGUCUCACUUUUUUUUUUGAGGUUCCGAGCACUAGCUCCUUUUUAUUUCUUCGUAUCUCUUUUUUUUAGAGCACUCAUCUCAUGAGAUAAUAUAGCAAGUGGUAGUAACAAGAUAACUUGAGCAUUUAUUUUACAAAGGGAAAAAUAGAAAUAUUUAUUUUUUUUUGGUUAUUCUCUCCCGGAUUAGGAGUAGAAUAUUUUUGGGUGAUUCUGGAGAUGGAAAUGGAUGGAUAUAUGUGGAUGGUACUUCCGGAGUAGAAGUAGCAUAUAUGAGUGGACGUGCAAGUGAAAUCUUGAUUUAACCACAUGACAAGCUCCUAAGGGUCUACACAGCUUGACCACACUCAAUGCUCAUAAGCAGUAAAUAAUAAAUGUGUGGCUCAAAGUCUAGCAAGUAUGCAUAUAUGGCUGUGGUAGGAAUUUAAGCUCUCAUCAUACAGGAACUCAUCAUGCAAUAUUUUAAAGAUUUUCAAAGAUAAAAUUCUCCAGAAUUCUAGCAUCUCUAGGAACAGAUAAACAGCAGCUCAACCUUCUCAUAUCAUAUCCGUUAACAACUUAGACUUCAGAUCAAAUUUUCAUCCCACAAGUUUAGGUCUAGAGCAAGCCUUAAAUUAUAACAGUUAUAUCUAAACUUGAGAGAGAACUUAAAAUUUGCAAAUUAGGCAGAGCAACUAUUUAUCAUAUCCAUGCUUAAGUUUUAUUUAGAUACAGAUUAGCAUAGCCACUUUAUUUAUUUAUUAAACACACUAAGCAAAAG
rnacentral:lncRNA from 1 species